UUUUGCCCACUCCUGUUGGCCGCUGCGGCUCCAAAGCGAGCUGGGCAGAUGUGCCUGAGACAGGUUUGACCAGGCAACUGAAAAGACAUCCCUAAGAGAAGACAAAGCAAAGGUAUGAAAGGAACACACGUCCCUGACUGACUAGGAGGAACAGAGCUGCCUGCUAUCUGGAACAACUUCCUCCCAGACUAACUGUGAGUCAAACAGAAUCUGCCAACCUCUGGGCGGUGGGAGCAUCUCGGAAGCAAGGCAAGGCAAGGAGAUCCCUUGUUCCUGACCUCCGGCAAUCCAUUUUAUUUGACCCGAGUCUCAUAAAGGAGUCCUGAUGAGCCCAAUCGCUUGCUAAUGGUUAUGAGCCGAGACCUGGGGAUUUAUGGCUGAGGCCUCCGUGGCCACGAACAGGAGUAGGGCUACGCAAAGGAGGCCAGGCUGUGCAUGGCUUCAGUUCAUGGAGGCCUGUACCCAGAACCACCGCGGAGACUACCACACCCCCACCUCCAAAUCUGGGGCAAAGAACAUUGCCCUGGGUGGGGGAAGCUGGGCUAAGGAGAAAAAAGACCUCUGGCUGGAGAUGUCCAGGGAUGAA
rnacentral:lncRNA from 1 species